UUCUGAGAAUACAGGUGCUGUGGCACAAUCUUUGUACACUGUAUAUAUGUAUUACUCUCAUUGGUUAAUAAAGAGCUAACUAGUCUAUAGCUGGGCAGGAAGAAAUUGGCUGGGAGAGCCAGACUAGGAGAAAUCUAGGAAAAAGAAGGGCGGAGUCAGAAGAGUUGCCAGGAGAUGCAGAGGGAGCAAGACAUGCUGAAGGACAGGACAGAGAGAAAUCAAGUUUGAACUGAACUGGAAGUCUCAUCCCUGCUUUUAUCCUACCAUACCAUGCUAUGCAGGCUACUGGGGAGCAAACUCAGCGAUGAUCUCACCCAGAUGUAGACCCUGCAUGCUACAAUACUGAUCUGCCCUGCAAAAUGUGCUAACUGGUGCAAUAGAGCUAUCCUGGAAUGCAUGUGGCUGGGGGCUACUGGCUGGAUGAGCCUGAAGGGACCGGAAGAAGACCUUUGGGGAGUUUACCUACAUCAAGAAUCCCCAAGCCCCUGUUUUCCCAUUUUCUUUGCCUAGACCAGCUCUUCCCUUCCUCCAAAUGCUUGUCUUUGCCCCAAACUUCUCCAGUGAUUUUUCCCUCCCCAUUCUUCUUCCUCUUUGAGACCCAAAGAUCCUACUCAGAAAACAGAAAGAAAGGGAAGAAGGAGAUGGGGACUUAAGUACCACCUCCACCCGGAACCAACCUCCACUCCUGCCGCAGCCAGCAGCCAGCGGAUCGACUCCAUCCUGCCUCUGCCACAAAAGUAGUAGAGCUUGGGUUUGGCUUCCAUGACUCCUGGUUCAGAGCUCCCUAAAGGGCAGCAGUAAAAAAAUAGGUUUGAAAAGCAAA